AAGUCGUAACAAGGUUUCCGUAGGUGAACCUGCGGAAGGAUCAUUUCCAAAAAAAUUGAGAAAACAAUGAUAUACACCGUAUUUGGUGUGUGAAGUGUGUGGUGGUAUCCAAAACAUUUUAUUUACUCUCUCUCCAAAGCCAUCGCGUAUGAUUUGGAAGAGAGAGGCCUUGAUGAACCACAUCCGCAAAUGUAUUGGCGUUUGUUUGUCUAAACAAACAACACUAUACAUCAUCGGACGUUAACAUUAUAUACUGUCUAGAUAUAUUUCUACUCGGAUUUGCACUUGGUGCCUCGGCACCAGGUCAAAACCAACAACACAAAAGUACAAAUAUACAGACAACUUUUAACGGUGGAUCUCUUGGCUCGU
rnacentral:misc_RNA from 1 species